GGCCUGUUGUCCCCCGGCCGGCAGGGCCCUGGCGCCAUGAGGUGCAGUCGCCUGCCCGGGGCACAGCUGAGACCCGGGGCUGUGCCUGCAGCUGCCGAGAGCGAUGCCGUCGUCCCCACCGCUUUGGCGACUGGCCCUUUGUCUCGGGCCCACGGCGGUCCCGCCUCCGGCCCUCGCACUUGCCUGUUGGCAGCAAAGCGCCCGGCUCUGGCUCGUCGGCCUCCACGACUACACUGCAGGCACCCGGGCCCCGUCCGUCGUCUCCCCCCUUCACCCGCUUCCGCCCCAGGUCUGUUAGGGUCUCGCACGUGGUCCCCAAGCGGGAGGACGUGGGAAGCGCCGGCCCCGUGGAUGCCUCCCUGACCUCUCGAUGGAGCUCCCAGGAAGCACACUAAGUCUGGGGACGUCCAUGUCCCCACCACAGAAGGGCUGGGCCACCCUCCACCAAGGCGGAGUCAUGGCCUAACCCCAAGUCCCCUAAAAUCCAUCCGAGGUGGGGGCAGGACUAACCCGCCCGGGUGGAGCCGCACGUCUCUCCGCGCCGGGUUACAGGGAGGCCGGGUCCCGCCUUCCCGCCCAGUGGCAGCUGUGAUCCAGUCUCUUCGCCCAGAGACGCCGCGUAUCAUACACAUCUUUAUGUACUUUUAAAAGAUUUUAUCUAUUCAUGAGACACACAGAGAGAGAGAGAGAGAGAGAGAGAGAGAGGUGGAGACACAGGCAGAGGGAGAAGCAGGCUCCACGCAGGGAGCCCGACGCGGGACUCGAUCCCGGGUCCCCAGGGUCACGCCCCGGGCUGAAGGCGGCGCUAAACCGCUGAGCCACCCGGGCUGCCCUAUUUUUAUAUUUUUUUACGAUGAACUAAUGGGGUGGUUGUGAGCAUCCUCGGUGCCUCUGCGGGUCCUGGUGAUGUGGUGAUGGCUGCGGGGUGACCUGGAAAGGAGAUUUAGGGUUCACCGACCCUGAGAACUGGGGAACGAGUCGUGCGCGUUAGGGUGGCGCCUGGCGAUAACGGUGCAGUAGUGAAGUCGGGAUGUCCCAAGUACUACCUGGAAGAAGACAGGAGGGGCCGCGGAGAGGUGUAAAGUAGCCUGGAGCGGAGGAAGGAGGACCGGACACGGACGCGCUCACAUGGUGAGGGAAGAGCCCACUGUCUUUCUGGAACAGUCCAGGAAAAGGCAUCCUGCUUCCUUCCAAGCCGACUCCUUGGUAUUCCGGAGCCCGACGGACGUGUCCUCCCACCUAUAAAAUUGAGUGGCGGCGGCAGCCUCAUCCCUGAUUCAGGUGAUGUGAUUUUUUCCGAGUAAAAAAAAUUUUUUUUCCCUGCAUUUUUUCUUGACUCUUAAACC